AACGAACGCUGGCGGCGUGGAUAAGACAUGCAAGUCGAACGCUUGUUAAACGGUAGCAAUAUCGUUUGGCAGGAGUGGCGCAAGGGUGCGUAACACGUGGGUAAUUUGCCGUGAAGAUCGGGAUAACUUGCUGAAAGGCGAGCUAAUACCGGAUGUGACAAUUGGUUGGCAUCAAUUGAUUGUUAAAGUUGGGGACCGUAAGGCCUGACGUUUCACGAUAAGCCCGCGGCCUAUCAGCUAGUUGGUGAGGUAACGGCUCACCAAGGCUAAGACGGGUAGCUGGUCUGAGAGGACGACCAGCCACACUGGAACUGAGACACGGUCCAGACACCUACGGGUGGCAGCAGUCGAGAAUUUUUCUCAAUGGGCGAAAGCCUGAAGGAGCGACGCCGCGUGGGGGAUGAAGGGCUUCGGCUCGUAAACCCCUGUCAUUUGCGAACAAACCUCGUGAAUUUAAAAGAUGACGAGUUGAUUGUAGACGAAAGAGGAAGGGACGGCUAACUCUGUGCCAGCC
rnacentral:rRNA from 1 species